UACAGGGGGGGCAAGCGUUGUUCGGAAUUACUGGGCGUAAAGGGCUCGUAGGCGGCCAACUUAGUCAGACGUGAAAUCCCUCAGCUUAACUGGGGAACUGCGUCUGAUACUGGAUGGCUUGAGUGCAGGAGAGGAACGCGGAAUUCCAGGUGUAGCGGUGAAAUGCGUAGAUAUCUGGAGGAACACCGGUGGCGAAGGCGGCGUUCUGGACUGCAACUGACACUGAGGAGCGAAAGCCAGGGGAGCAAACGGG
rnacentral:rRNA from 1 species